GAUGAACGCUGGCGGCGUGGAUAAGGCAUGCAAGUCGAACGGUAACAGGUCUUCGGAUGCUGACGAGUGGCGAACGGGUGAGUAAUACAUCGGAACGUGCCCGAUCGUGGGGGAUAACGAAGCGAAAGCUUUGCUAAUACCGCAUAAGAUCUACGGAUGAAAGCAGGGGACCGCAAGGCCUUGCGCGAACGGAGCGGCCGAUGGCAGAUUAGGUAGUUGGUGGGAUAAAAGCUUACCAAGCCGACGAUCUGUAGCUGGUCUGAGAGGACGACCAACCACACUGGGACUGAGACACGGCCCAGACUCCUACGGUAGGCAGCAGUGGGGAAUUUUGGACAAUGGGCGAAAGCCUGAUUCAGCCAUGCCGCGUGCAGGAUGAAGGCCUUCGGGUUGUAAACUGCUUUUGUACGGAACGAAAAGACUCUUUCUAAUAAAGAGGGUCCAUGACGGUACCGUAAGAAUAAGCACCGGCUAACUACGUGCCAGCAGCCGCGGUAA
rnacentral:rRNA from 1 species